AACGCGAAGAACCUUACCUGGGCUUGAACCGCUACUGACCAACGGUAGAAAUAUCGUCUUCCCGCAAGGGACAGUAGUAGAGGUGCUGCAUGGCUGUCGUCAGCUCGUGCCGUGAGGUGUUGGGUUAAGUCCCGCAACGAGCGCAACCCUUAUUCGUAGUUGCCACCCGCGAGGGGGAACUCUACGAGGACUGCUCCGGAUAACGGAGAGGAAGGUGGGGAUGACGUCAAGUCAGCACGGCCUUUAUGUCCAGGGCUACACACGUGUUACAAUGCACGGUACAGACUGUUGCGAACCCGCGAGGGGGAGCCAAUCGGAUAAAACCGUGCUCAGUUCGGAUUGCAGUCUGCAACUCGACUGCAUGAAGCUGGAAUCGCUAGUAAUGGCGUAUCAGAUCGACGCCGUGAAUACGUUCCCGGGCCUUGUA
rnacentral:rRNA from 1 species